CGUGCCUAACACAUGCAAGUCGAACGGAGAAUUUUAUUUCGGUAGAAUUCUUAGUGGCGAACGGGUGAGUAACGCGUAGGCAACCUGCCCUUUAGACGGGGACAACAUUCCGAAAGGAGUGCUAAUACCGGAUGUGAUCAUCUUGCCGCAUGGCAGGAUGAAGAAAGAUGGCCUCUACAAGUAAGCUAUCGCUAAAGGAUGGGCCUGCGUCUGAUUAGCUAGUUGGUAGUGUAACGGACUACCAAGGCGAUGAUCAGUAGCCGGUCUGAGAGGAUGAACGGCCACAUUGGGACUGAGACACGGCCCAAACUCCUACGGGAGGCAGCAGUGGGGAAUCUUCCGCAAUGGACGAAAGUCUGACGGAGCAACGCCGCGUGAGUGAUGAAGGAUUUCGGUCUGUAAAGCUCUGUUGUUUAUGACGAACGUGCAGUGUGUGAACAAUGCAUUGCAAUGACGGUAGUAAACGAGGAAGCCACGGCUAACUACGUGCCAGCAGCCGCGGUAAUACGUAGGUGGCGAGCGUUGUCCGGAAUUAUUGGGCGUAAAGAGCAUGUAGGCGGCUUAAUAAGUCGAGCGUGAAAAUGCGGGGCUCAACCCCGUAUGGCGCUGGAAACUGUUAGGCUUGAGUGCAGGAGAGGAAAGGGGAAUUCCCAGUGUAGCGGUGAAAUGCGUAGAUAUUGGGAGGAACACCAGUGGCGAAGGCGCCUUUCUGGACUGUGUCUGACGCUGAGAUGCGAAAGCCAGGGUAGCGAACGGGAUUAGAUACCCCGGUAGUCCUGGCCGUAAACGAUGGGUACUAGGUGUAGGAGGUAUCGACCCCUUCUGUG
rnacentral:rRNA from 1 species